rnacentral:rRNA from 1 species
GUAUAGAACCUACCUUAUAUUGGGGGAUAGCCCAGAGAAAUUUGGAUUAAUACCCCAUAGUAUGCUGAAUUGGCAUCAGUUUAGUAUUAAAGAUUUAUCGAUAUAAGAUGGCUAUGCGUUCUAUUAGCUAGUUGGUAAGGUAACGGCUCACCAAGGCGACGAUAGAUAGGGGUCCUGAGAGGGAGAUCCCCCACACUGGUACUGAGACACGGACCAGACUCCUACGGGAGGCAGCAGUGAGGAAUAUUGGACAAUGGAGGCAACUCUGAUCCAGCCAUGCCGCGUGCAGGAAGACUGCCCUAUGGGUUGUAAACUGCUUUUAUAGAGGAAGAAACCGCUCUACGUGUAGAGCUCUGACGGUACUCUACGAAUAAGGAUCGGCUAACUCCGUGCCAGCAGCCGCGGUAAUACGGAGGAUCCAAGCGUUAUCCGGAAUCAUUGGGUUUAAAGGGUCCGUAGCGGGCUUAUAAGUCAGUGGUGAAAGUUUGCGGCUCAACCGUAAAAUUGCCAUUGAUACUGUAGGUCUUGAAUCAUUGUGAAGUGGUUAGAAUGUGUAGUGUAGCGGUGAAAUGCAUAGAUAUUACACAGAAUACCGA